CAAUAUGACAAUUCUUGAAUGUCCUCUAAGUGCUCCCAAGUGCUCCCAACGCUAGAACUCAAGGAUUAACCUUUCAGAUUCCGGUCCAACCAUAAAAAAAUAUUCAGUUUUGACCGAGAUAUUUCACUUUUAAGUUUUACACUAAAACCGGUUUUUACCGGUACAUACCGGUUCAAAACACC